rnacentral:rRNA from 1 species
GACGAACGCUGGCGGCGUGCUUAACACAUGCAAGUCGAACGAAGUGGCGAACGGGUGAGUAACGCGUAAUCAACCUGCCCUUCAGCGGGGGACAACAGUUGGCAACGACUGCUAAUACCGCAUACUGAAGGAGGGGAUUGCGUCUGAUUUGCUAGUUGGAGGGGUAACGGGCCACCAAGGCGAUGAUCAGUAGCCGGUGUGAGAGGUGGAAAGGCCACGAUGGGACUGAGACACGGCCCAGACUCCUAAGGGAGGCAGCAGUUGGGAAUCUUCCGAAAUGGACGAAAGUCUGACGGAGCAACGCGGCGUGAGUGAUGACGGCCUUCGGGUUGUAAAGCUCUGUUAAUCGGGACGCGGUACCGGAAUAGAAAGCCACGGCUAACUACGUGCCAGCAGCCGCGGUAAUUC